rnacentral:rRNA from 1 species
UACGGAGGAUGCAAGCGUUAUCCGGAAUGAUUGGGCGUAAAGCGUCCGUAGGUGGCUAUUCAAGUCUGCUGUUAAAGCGCAGGGCUUAACCCUGUAAAGGCGGUGGAAACUGGAGAGCUAGAGUGUGGUAGGGGUAGAGGGAAUUCCCGGUGUAGCGGUGAAAUGCGUAGAGAUCGGGAAGAACACCAGUGGCGAAAGCGCUCUACUGGGCCGCAACUGACACUCAGGGACGAAAGCUAGGGGAGCGAAUGGG